rnacentral:rRNA from 1 species
CAUGCAAGUCGAACGGGCACUUCGGUGCUAGUGGCAGACGGGUGAGUAACACGUGGGAACGUACCUUUCGGUUCGGAAUAAUUCAGGGAAACUUGGACUAAUACCGGAUACGCCCUUCGGGGGAAAGAUUUAUCGCCGAUAGAUCGGCCCGCGUCUGAUUAGCUAGUUGGUGAGGUAAUGGCUCACCAAGGCGACGAUCAGUAGCUGGUCUGAGAGGAUGAUCAGCCACAUUGGGACUGAGACACGGCCCAAACUCCUACGGGAGGCAGCAGUGGGGAAUAUUGGACAAUGGGCGCAAGCCUGAUCCAGCCAUGCCGCGUGAGUGAUGAAGGCCUUAGGUUGUAAAGCUCUUUUGUCCGGGAAGAUAAUGACUGUCCGGAAGAAUAAGCCCGGCUAACUC